ACGUAGGGGGCAAGCGUUAUCCGGAUUUACUGGGUGUAAAGGGAGCGUAGACGGUCAAGCAAGUCAGAAGUGAAAGGCUGGGGCUCAACCCCGGGACUGCUUUUGAAACUGUUUGACUGGAGUGCUGGAGAGGUAAGCGGAAUUCCUAGUGUAGCGGUGAAAUGCGUAGAUAUUAGGAGGAACACCAGUGGCGAAGGCGGCUUACUGGACAGUAACUGACGUUGAGGCUCGAAAGCGUGGGGAGCAAACAG
rnacentral:rRNA from 1 species